GUAGUUAUUGGAUAUAUAAGCGAGUGCCAUUACUUUGACUUGAUGUCUAAUUUGCAAAAUCAUGUCUUUCAGUAAUGGCAGAGAUAUGAAGUUCAUAAUGCCUUAUUAAAUCAUAUAGCUAUUCAUUCUAUUUUUGGUUGUACUGCUUUGCGACUUGGUACUUUGUAUUAUCUUGAUUGAGUUGCAUUCACUAUAAUGUAGGCUGUUGGAAAAGUGCUCCCAUCACUUAACGGCAAAUUGACUGGAAUGGCCUUCAGAGUACCAACUGCUGAUGUUUCUGUUGUCGACCUUACUGUAAGACUUGAGAAAGAAGCCUCAUAUGAAGACAUCAAGGCUGCAAUCAAGUGAGUUUCUGUUUGAUCACUUUGUGUUGUUUUUUGUUGGUCCCUUGUGCAGCAAGACUAACUACGUGUGUGUUGUUGGGUUCAUAGGGAGGAAUCAGAGGGUAAAUUGAAGGGUAUCUUGGGAUACACUGAAGAUGAUGUGGUUUCCACAGACUUUGUUGGUGACAGCAGGUAAUAUAUUUUGUUUGGUUCACUCAUAAGGGGUCUUGAAUUGUAUGUAGUUUAGUUUAAUGUGAAAUUUAACUUUUGGUACAGGUCAAGCAUUUUCGAUGCCAAGGCUGGAAUUGCUUUGAGCAAGAACUUUGUGAAACUUGUGUCAUGGUAUGACAACGAAUGGGGUUACAGGUAUUGUUCUGUUCUUUUAGCUUCUCUUCAGACUUCUAAAGUUUCCUUUUGAACAUGCUAACUUUUUUUUCUCUCUAUGUUUUAACACCAUAUAUGUAUUAUGUUUUGCAGUUCCCGUGUGAUUGAUUUGAUCUGCCAUAUGGCCAAGGCUUGAUUGAUGCUGCUGGGGAGCAGAAGACAAUCUGUUUUAGUUUUUGCUUGAAGUAUUAGUUUUCUGGGCCGGGAGUGGUCUUUCUUGUUUAUGUGUAAUGGAAUAACCAGAGAGGAACGGAACCCUGUUGUUAUCUUUGAGGAUAUCUUUUACUGUUUGACUUGUCAUGAAUGAAUCAAACUUUACUUUUUCCAGUAUCAGUCAUCAGUUUCUUGCCUUUUGUUAUCCCUGUGUUGAGUUUUGGUUUGGCUAGUUUAUAUCUUUUAAGUGUCCCAUAUAUCCCUACUAUUUUCGUUGAGAUGUCCUUUCUCACGCAAACUGUUGUCUUAAUUUCAUUAACAUUCUGACUUGGCUACUUUUGUUAGAUCAACAAACAAAUUCAUUAUUACUUCAAAUCAACAUCUACUAUGUGAAGAGGAAUACAUUACCAUUGAUGUUCAAAUUUUAUCUGUUGAGUAGUUUGAUGACAAUGUAUUAAUUUUGCUUAUUUUUUAAGAUUGUAUAAAAGAUUGAACUAAUUUUGAUACUUUUCACUAUUUAUGUACGGUUUUAGGAAAGGCCAAACACAUACACAACCCCUCAAACUUGGCCCCAUUUUUCAUUUUGGCACUCCAACUUAGUCUUGUUCCAUUUUAACCCUUGAAUUCCAUUUUUUCUGUUCCAUUUUAACACAAAAUACUAUUUUUAUGAUUUAUUUAUUUUAUAUAUAUUCUUCAAAUGCAACUUCUUAUUUUAAAUCGACACGUGUCAAUUAAUUUUAAUUAAAAAAAUUAAAAAUUAAGUUAGCCUUUAGGAAAAGUGCUUUACUAUCAAGUUAUUUGUCCCCUGAAUUGUCAUAUGUAUCUCUCUAAUGGAUUGGAUGGAAGACCUCAAAAUCAACAAAAAUAAUCGAUUUUAAUUAAAUUAUAGUAUUCUCUUUGGAAAAAUCACCCCAUAUACACAUUUAAGAGUCAAUAUUACAAGUUUUAAAUCUACUUUUAAUUUUUUUUUGCUUAUAACAGUUUAAUCACGGGUUAUAACAUAUCACUAAUUAUUUAUAAAUUAAUUAAAUUUUAUUUUAUUAAAUAAAUAAUUUUUUAUAAUUUUAUAUUAUUAUUAAAUUAUUUAAAUAAAGAAUACCCCAUAAUUAUCUCUUACACAAUUGUAGGGAUUUACAUUGAUUACUGUUCCUUUUUUCCAGUUACAAGUCACACCCCCACACCCCACCUAAAUCCCUCACCCCACGUCAAUUCCACGUUAAAGAAAAAUAGAAAUUCAUUUUNNNNNNNNNNNNNNNNNNNNNNNNNNNNNNNNNNNNNNNNNNNNNNNNNNNNNNNNNNNNNNNNNNNNNNNNNNNNNNNNNCCUCCCCCGCCUAAAAUUGUUGAAAAUCCGGCGAAUAUUCAAAAUCCGGCAACGGAUGGUUCAUCUAAGUAGAAGGAGUGACAAAGAGAGAAAAAAUGAAGAAAAAAAAAGGUCACCUCUGCAAAUCAAAAAGGGGAAGAAGAGGAAGGGGAAAAUUGUUGAAACCCCUUCUGAUUCCGAUUUUGAUUUUGUUACUGAAAUCAAAAGAAAAAGAAAAAAAAACAAAUGUAGAAGUUGGAGCAUCUUCAAAACCAUCAACAAGAAGAACAACAAAAAGUUAAUUUUUUUAAUUUUUGGACGAUUAUUUUGUGUUUAAGUAUUUGAUGAUAUAUAAUAUCAUAUGUUUUCUUUCAGGCAGAUACCGUUUACAUAUGAAUUACUGAUUGCCUAUUACAAUUUCAAGAUACUAUUUUGAAAAUAUCAGUGUGUUUCCAAACUGUACAUUUAUUGGAUGAAAUCUGAUUAAUAUGUGUAUGACUACGCUUUAAUGUUUUGAUUUUGAAAAUUUUAUGAAUUGUGAUAUAAUAAUGGUAUACAAAUGGUAUGAAUUGCGUUUUAACAUUGGUGUGAUUGUCUAUUAACUGUGUUUAUGGUAUAAAUUAUUAAAUUGUGUUUUUGGAUGAAACGUGUAUGAAAUCUGAUUAAUACGUGUAUGCCUAUGAGUUUAAUAUUUUAUUGUUGGAUAUUGUAUGAAUUGUGAUAUAAUAUUGAUAUUCAAAUGGUAUAAAUUGUGUGAUUAUAUGAAUUUAUCAAUUUUUAUACAUGUUGUUUGGAUAAAACGUGUAUGAAAUUUUGAUUAAUAUGUGUAUGACACUAACUAAAGUUAGUGUGGGAAUGAAACACUAACUGCAAUUUGUUUUAAAUUUAUUUAUAGUAGGACACCAGUUGAAAACCAAAUUAAUAUUCAUAUAAACUUACAUUAAAUUAAAUACUCAGGAUACCAUAAUUACCUUUUAUAAUUAUCACUAAUAUUUACACUAUCUUAUGUAUUAAGCUGGAAUAAAUUUUAUUUUUAACAGUAUGCAAUCUGUAUGAUUAAUGAAUGAACCGUGUAUAAAGAAUGAACGGUAUAUUAAACACUAAGUUUAUAAUGCACUUCAAGCCAAUUAUGUUUCAUAUCAAAACAAAACAUUAAUCUAAACGACAAAAUAAAAUAAAAAUUAUAUAUAGUCUAAACAAAUAAACAGUCAUUAGUUUUGCACAGGAUAAUUUGAACAUGCAUACUAAUUAUUUUGAUCAACAGUUUGAUCAUUUUUGUUUCAUUUUGCUAUCAUUCUAAAACAAACGUUAAACAAUAAUAAAUACUAACCCGAAGGAUCCCAUCUUUCACCAUGUUUUGAUUAAAACUGAUACGUAGUUGUCCAUCACAACAAAAUCAAGAAUUUUCAAAGAUGAAAAAAUUUCAAUUACUCGAAUGUGAGAUUUUUUUUUGUUGAAAAUUGAAGAAAGAAACGUUGAAAUUAUUUUGUUGCAAAAUGAAGAGAGAGAAACGUUGAAAAAAGAAGAAGAUAAAAUCUGAAUUUUUAUUUGAUUUUAACUGAUUUGAGUGAAUUAAGGAUACUAAAUAAUCUUAAUUAGUUUAAAUCCCUUAAUUCGUGCUAUUUAUUAAUUAUCUACAAUAAAUAAUCAAAUUAAAUUAACACCACAAUUUCAGUUUAUUACCUAUUUUCAUUAAAAAACGUUUUUUUUUUCAUUUUCCUUUUAUCUCUUUAUUUUAUUUAAACAACUUUUUUCAAUUAUUGAAAACGGUUUUUUUUUUAAAAAAAUUAUUUGUUAGAACCUGAAAUUUUUAAUGUUAUAACUUGAAAGUCUAAAUCUACUGCUAUAGCUUGAAAAUAUUACUAUAAUAUAUGACAUAUAAAAUUUACACUUUCUUUUAAUCCGAACAUUGGCUCCGUCAUGUUCAUAUCAGCACCAGCCUGCGAGGCUUCCAUAAAUUCCUGGGCUUGCAAUAGUAGAUGUUGAACCCCUUCGGCUACUUCGUGUGUCUAUUUUUUUAGAUUUUGAACCCCCUUACUGAAAAUUCUGGUUCCGCCACUGGUAGCCAGGUUGUAGACCAAAUCUAUUUGGAACCACAAACAGAGAAGGAAGGCAUCAGUACCAUUCUACCAACUAAAUUUGAAGAAUCAUUAAUUCACCGUUGGUAUCAAACCGUUCACAUCCUACUGUAUACAUUAAAGUAUGAACUUAAACUUCUAGCAGGAUCGACAGGAAAAUAAUUACUUGUAAUUUUUUGUCAAUGCAAUAAGUAACAUACUCAAUGACGUCUACAGUCAUGCCACAGACCAUGAUUUUUUUAAUUUUUUUUUCAAAAAAUAUUGGCGCUCUUUAAUAAUCUUAGAAGGAUGUCAUGUGUCACGGAGAAGUAUUCAAAAUAAUAUUCUAUUGUUAAAUAAAAGUAUACGUAGAUCUUAUUUCUACUUUAAGAGAUAGAGAGAUUAUUAUAUUUUAUUUAUUUUUCAUUUUUCAUUUGAUGGUAGUAGAGUUUGACUAGUCUGAAUUCAUGUUGCGUAGGUUCUCAUUUGAGGAGGAUUGCCCUAUACCAAUGAUUUUUCGGAUUUGGCUCCCAUCCAUUACCCUUUCCCUCUAUUUCAUCAAGUACACAUCUAGAUAAGAGACAUGUGUAUUAUUUAAUUAUUAAUGGUCAAGAUUAUAUUGCAUUAACUAAUAUCAUAGCCAUAGUUAAGUGAAUAAGUUUUUAAAAAAUAUUUUCUAUAAAUUUAGUAAGAAUAAUUAAUUCUUCUCAACUUUUGGUAUCCAUAUAUUUAUAUCAUUAAUUUUAUUUAAUAUUUUUAUAGUUAAAUAUUAAAAUUAUUGAACAUGAACUUAACAACGUUUAAUUUAUUUAGCCUAACAGUAGUCUUACAAAAUAUUUUGCCUUUUUCUUUUAUUUUUUAAAAAAAGAAUAUUUUGAUUUUGGAUACUUUCACUUUUGUAAUUCUAACGCAUUUUUUACUUCCCAUUUUUAUUAUAUGAUUUCUAUCAUCAAUGAUAAUGCUUUCUUUUAUUUUUUAAAUUUCUCAACAUAAUAUUUCAAGAAUAAAUUUGCUAGCACAGGAAGCGAUUAAAUAAUGUACAAUAUUAAUAUUUGCAUAUAGAAAUAUAAAAUGAAUCUAAGAUUUGUAGGAAUAUUUUUCUUACCAAAGUUAAGAAAUUAUUUUUUCAAAACUUAUUCACUUAACUAUGAUUAUGAUACCAGUUAAUGUAAUAUAAUCUUGACCUUUAAUAAUUAAAUAGUACACACGUCUCUCAUCUGCAUGUGUACUUGAUGAAAUGGAGGGAAAGGAUAAUGGAUGGGAGUCAAAUCCUGAUUUUUCUAUACCCAAAAUUAAAAUUUGAGAUCUCUGAUUAAGGAAAGAACAACCGGUAGAGACUAUUUUUGUUGCUAUUGGAACCUUUUUAUUUUUUAUUUUAUUUUUAAUCAUGAAGUUAAUCUCUAAUGUCAUUUUUAAAUCGGAUCUGGAUCAUGAAAAUAAAAUGAAAUGGCAAUCCUUAUACCAAAUUUGCUUGGACUAUUUUUCAAAUUCCGUAUUCUACUUAUUUUCUGUUUUUAAAUAUUUUUUUUUGGGUAUCAUUUCAAUGGUAGACAUCUAUAUUGAAUUGAAUUCAUGCCUAAUUUUUGGAUACACGAUUUUUCUCAUCUUCUUCUUGUCAGUGAGUGCAUGCUUCCAUAAGGGUAUUUAGACAUAUAUUUAUACAUUUGUCUUAAAUAUAUUGACCUCAUUUAAUAUUGUCAUAAUAUCCAAUUAUAUAUUGUUAGUCAUAAAGCUGUAAAGUCAAAAAAUGAAAAAUCUAUUUACUUUUCUGUUAAAUAGUGAAAAUAAGUCCUUUUUUAAGGUGCUUUCAUGGAAGAAAAAAGAGAGGGUAGAGAUUUAGCCAAUACACAGUCACAUAACCGCCAGAUAAUUGUUAAUCCACCAAUCUAUAUCUUAUUGGUUGGCUAGUGAAUUAAUAAAUUUAAUCCUAUCUACCUAAUCCGUGCAUAAGCAGCCCUAAUCUCUCUCACAGGUAUAAUAGAAACACUGUCUUCCAGAUUUUCAAUCUACAAACUCUCUCUCAACAUGGGUUUUGCAAUUUCAGGUAAGUUUUAAUCACAAUUUUUCAUCUACUUGCUGUUUUUUUUUUUUUUUGUCUUUAAUCUGUGGUUUCAAACUGUCAAAGUUUAAUCUUUUACUUCUCUGCUUUAGUGUUCCAAUUUUAGUAUUCAAUUUUUGCUUAAAUUUCUUGGUUUAUGUCAUUAUUGUUUGUUCUGUCUGAUCCAAUCUUUAAUUGCUGGAUGGAGUUUAAUUCUUGUUUUUUAAAAUUUAAUUUGAUAGAGUAUUUGGCCUUGUAAUUAUAUGUAGCUCCACUCAUAUUAAACAAAAAACAGUUUGGCAGCUCAGAUAUUGGGGAAAAUCAGUUCUUGAAGAAUUUGAAAAUUAUGAAAUUUUAGGAAGACAAACGCAUAAGAAAGUCUAGAAACUCUUUUAGAAGAAAUGAGAACUGGAAGCAAACAACAGAGCACUAAUAAAAUAAUUAACAAUAGGGGAAUUUACAUGACCAUUGAUAUGAAAAGAAAUCUUUGCAGUUUUCUCGGGAAUUGAGGAGUUCACGAGCUACUCAAAGAUCUCAUACAUCAGUAUCUUUGUCCAUUUAUUCCACUUGAACUCCUAACAAGGUCCUAUGUGCAUUUCGAGACUCUUCAAUUGUUUGGUUCACCAGUUAGGUAAGGGAUAAAUUCCUCUUUAGAAACCAUCAACUUCAUACCUUAGCUAAAAGUUUCAAAUUUCUAAAUAAUAGUGUUAACUAAAAGAAAAGUUGUUAUAUCGCAACGCAAAGAAGUGAACAUUAAACAAACUUGGUAGAAAGAAAAAUAGAAAAAUUAGAAGAGAAGAACCUAAUAAUCUUACCUUUUCUUAACUUGUAUUAUGUAUAUAGCUGCAGAAGAACAUCAGUAAGUAAAUUAGACAGUGUCGACAGAAAAACUACAAUAUUUAACACUAAAGAGUGAAUAAGAAAGAGAGGAGGACAGUUGAGAAACUCACCCAAAGCCGGAUGACACCUUGAAGAAGCAAAGGAGAAUGAGAGCUGUAGAGUGAAAGAUAAUAAAGUGAAGGAAAUUGAGAAUUGUAGAGUUAAAUCUAAUCCAUAAAAAAAGAGUUAGAUCUAAAGUGAUACAUGUGUUUUACUGAAGUAGAAAGGCAGGGCACGUAUCUAAUUACCAAUGAGAUAGGUUCAACUCUAUUGUACAAUUGAUACUACUUUUUGUAUAACUAUCAACUUAAUUGUUAACACCUUGUGUUUACUUAUUAAUAAUAGAAAUUCAUGAACUAAAACAACAGGGAGGUACAUUGUAUAUGUGCUUGGCCGUGUGUAUGUAGUGUAGUGCAUUUGGGAAUUUUCGUGGGUCUUCACUUUUUCAAAUUUGAUUGGGGAUGUAUUGAAGUUGUGUAAAUGACUUAGAAAACAAAAGAACUAUAUGUGGACCAAUGAUAAAUCUAAAAGGACUUCAGAGAAAGAACAAAUAUAUUUUUUCAUCUUUAAAGGUGUUUUAUUUUCAAAAAAUAAAAUCGUUUGAGCAUCAGAGUGUCUAUGCUCGAAUCUGCCUCUUGGAGGCACGACAAAUGGAGUUAUUGCCUCCUCAACUGAAUGAAGGGGAAUGCAAACAAGAGAAACGUUGUGGUUGUUUCAGCUGAUAAUGAAAGCAAACCACGUUUCUUGACCUUUCUGUUUGAUAUGGGUCGCUCUAACUAAUAGAUAAAUAACUUUUCUUUUAUGAGCUCUUUUUUGCUCAAUUUAGUGUCCAAUGCAGCAGGGGAAUGAAGGAAAAUUACCUGGUAAUACAACUAUUGUAAUAUAAUGCUUCUUAAUUAGCAAGAGGUAGUUAACUUUGGAUAUCAUAGCUACCAACUGGGAUUUGGAUAAAUAAUUGGAUAUGGGGAAUGACUUUUUGAGAAGUAGAAGGGGAAUGAAGGAAAAUUUUUGAGAAGGAUUUUUUUUUUUUUUGAGAAGGCGAAUGAAGGAAAAUUACCUGGUAGUAAGAUUUCUGUGUUGAAGAAUUGGUAUGAGCCACACUCAAAAUGGCUUUAUUCAACUGUGAGUUUGUCACCUAAAUAAUUGAUCAUAUCUACAUACGUAUAUUAAUAUGAAUUAACAAACUUUUUUUUUUUGCAAGUGUACUUGAUCCAUUACAAGUGAAUGUUAUCAUCAUCAUUUAUAUAGUCAAGAUUUCUGUUAUGAGAAUAAGAAAUUGUAGCAGGAAGAGUAUAAGGCAAAACUUGUCGAGGAAACAGGGUUCCAACUGAAGCAAAUAAAUAACUGGUUCAUCAAUCAAAGCAAGCGCAAUUGACAUAGCAAUUCACAGUCUGUAACAUUUCUAAAGUCCAAUCCCAGAAGAUAAAGAGAAAUCAACGAUGUCCCUCGAAAGAAGUCAAGAACAUAUUUAAAUUCCUGCAUCUUCUUGAUGCCAUUAAUGAAAUCACUACUUCAUAAAAAAAUAAAAAUAAAACAGAAAGAAAUCAAGAACAUAUAUAGGCUGAUGGUGAUAUGAAUAUAACAGCUUUGAAGCAGAGUGUUGAACUAUCUAUUGUGGGUACAUGUUUAGCAGUUGCAACUCCGUUAUUUGCUUCGGCCAAACAAGUAGCAUGCUUGCUAGAACUUGAUAUAAUUGAUUUAAUUGAGGUGUGUUUGGUUAACUUGUUUUUCUGUUAUUGGAGUUUGUUGUCUGUGUUUUGGCAUGAAGAAUUGUCCAGAAACAGGAGUUGUGAUGAGGUAUGGAGUGUUGUUUAGUAACAGAAGUUGUGCUCUGCAAGCAAUCAAAAAAUAUUAUGACCCAAGUAUGUUAUGCUUGAUGUGUUGUUUAUAAAAAUAAAUUUCUUUGACAAAUAAAUUUGAACUUUUAUUUGAUUCUGGCUUUAAUUUAUACUUUGCCAGUUGUUUGUUGUUCCAAUCUGAUUUAAUGGAAUGACAUUUCCUUUGUGGUUACUACGAAUGAAGUGCAUUAUUUAUACGUUCAAUCUAGUUUGUUGGGCCCGUGCUAAGCACGGGCAUAUCACAUCUAGUUUCUUGCUACAUUGACUCUUGUUCUCACUAAACCUAAUUUCUCUCCUUACAUUUUUUAGCUUUCAACUCCUUUUUCUUAACAAUGGCAAAGAUCAAGAUCUGAAUCAACAAUAACUCCUUUUCAUUGAUUUCUAUGUUUAAUCGGCUACAUUUACUAUAAUUUUACCAAGUAGUUUUGUGUUGUGUGUUCUGUAUCUGCUCGUGUUUAGUGGUGUGAUGUUGAGUUUUGUUUUCCAAUUUUAUUUUUUCAAUCAUGAUUCGAUAGGAUUGGUCGUUUGGUGGCUAGAGUUGCUCUGCAGAGGGAUGAUGUUGAACUAGUUGCAGUGAACAAUCCAUUUAUCUCUACUGAUUACAUGGUAUAGUUUGUUGCUAGAUGUCUUUACUCAUUAUUUAUAUAUGAUGCUUUUAUGUGCUUAGACUAGAUCUGUAGAGGGGCUUAACUUGGAUCUGUGUGAUUGGUGCAGACAUACAUGUUCAAGUAUGAUUCAGUACAUGGACAAUGGAAGCACCAUGAGCUUAAGGUUAAGGAUGAGAAGACCCUUCUCUUCGGUGAGAAGGCUGUUACAGUUUUUGGAAUCAGGUAUUUUUUGUCCCAGGAAAUAAAUCCUUGUGUUUAGUUUAGUUUAGUUUGGUGCUGAAGAAAUUUCUGCAAUUGUUGAGGAACCCUGAAGAAAUCCCAUAGGCUGAAGCUGGUGCUGACUUUGUUGUUGAAUCAACCGGUGUCUUCACUGACAAGGAUAAGGCUGCUGCUCACUUGAAGGUAUGGUUGAUCGAUAUCUCUAUCUGCAUUUUCAUUUUCAAAAUCACAUCUUUCAGUAAUGGCAUAGAUAUGAAGUUUAUAAGGACUUGUUAAAUUUUUGAUAACUAGAAAAUCUUCUUAUUGAUUGUCUCUAAAGUUUGGAUUUUAGUCUCAAAUUCUCCAAAGCAAAACCCAUUACUGUUGCAUAGCUAUUCAUUCUAUUUUCAUUGGAGUUUGAGGGUUACUGCAUCUUCUAUUAGACUUGUACUUUGUAUUAUCUUGAUCGAGUUGCAUUCAUUAUAAUGUAAGUUGCUGAAGAAGUGCUCCCAUUGCUUAAUGGCAAAUUGAUGGAAUGGCCUUCAGAGUUCCAACUGGUGAUGUUUCUGUUUUCGACCUUACUGUAAGACUAGAGAAAGAAGCCUUAUAUGAUGACAUCAAGGCUGCAAUCAAGUAAGUUUCUGUUUGAUCACGUGUUGUUUUUGUUUGUCCCUUGUG
rnacentral:lncRNA from 1 species